AACGUAGGAGACAAACGUUAUCCGGAGUUACUGGGCGUAAAGGGCGUGUAGGUGGUAUCGUAAGUCUGGCGUGAAAUUUCUCGGCUUAACCGAGGCAGGUCGUCGGAUACUGCGAGGCUAGAGGACGGUAGAGGCGUGUGGAAUUCCUGGUGUAGCGGUGAAAUGCGCAGGAUAUCAGGAGGACACCGGUGGCGAAGGCGGGUCUCUGGGCGAGUAACUGACGCUGAGGAGCGAAAGCGUGGGGAGCGAA
rnacentral:rRNA from 1 species